CGUCACCCAAAGUAAACAUGGCGACAAGGACCCACUUGCAAACCGUUUCGGAGGUAAAGGCCUGUAAAUGUAUUCCCACUCCCUCUGCUGCUUUACUCCAGCACACCUACAAUAGAUGCUGCAUCACACAAAAACUGCCCCAUUCCUGUGGAUGUGGAGAAAAUCACACAUACUACAUACUAUGCAAAGGCAGCAAAGACCCAAGCUGGAUCUGCGUCCACCCUGAAGCCCAACAACAAGGUGACCAGGAUGGUGUUGAUCUUUGUGCUGGGCUUCCUGACAUGAUACAUCUCAGCUUUGCUUUUGUACUUGUGAACAACCACCAUCAGUCUUUUGAUUUGAGAUUUGCUUCUAUAGUGUCUGUCUUUUCCAAGAUCCCCUGCAGUCU